UAUAUACUCCCUCCGUCUACUUGUCAUCAAAAUGGAUAAAAGGUGAUGUAUCUAGAUGUAUUUUAGUUCUAAAUACAUCCCUUAUUAUACAUUUUGAUGACAAGUAUUUUCGGACGGAGGGAGUACAAC
rfam:Triticum aestivum genome assembly, contig: Triticum_aestivum_CS42_TGACv1_scaffold_061288_1DL